rnacentral:rRNA from 1 species
GAUGAACGCUGGCGGCGUGCCUAAUACAUGCAAGUCGAGCGAACAGACGAGGAGCUUGCUCCUCUGACGUUAGCGGCGGACGGGUGAGUAACACGUGGAUAACCUACCUAUAAGACUGGGAUAACUUCGGGAAACCGGAGCUAAUACCGGAUAAUAUAUUGAACCGCAUGGUUCAAUAGUGAAAGACGGUUUUGCUGUCACUUAUAGAUGGAUCCGCGCCGCAUUAGCUAGUUUGUAAGGUAACGGCUUACCAGGGCAACGAUGCGUAGCCGACCUGAGAGGGUGAUCGGCCACACUGGAACUGAGACACGGUCCAGACUCCUACGGGAGGCAGCAGUAGGGAAUCUUCCGCAAAGGGCGAAAGCCUGACGGAGCAACGCCGCGUGAGUGAUGAAGGUCUUCGGAUCGUAAAACUCUGUUAUUAGGGAAGAACAAAUGUGUAAGUAACUAUGCACGUCUUGACGGUACCUAAUCAGAAAGCCACGGCUAACUACGUG